ACUUGCUUGGUGUAGUGGUAACAUGCUGGAUAUAAUAUUAUCCAGUGGUCACCUGUUCAAAUCUUGUUUUGGGCA